GAGUUUAGUCAAAAAAACUGACAUCAAACUGACAUGUUUUACUGACAUCAUUAAAGCAGGAAAUAGAGGGCUGUAGUCCAAACCGGCCGUUCUCUGUAGGCUUUGAAAGGGGAAUUCUGUAAAAGAAAAUAUAUCGCCUGGCAGUCAACUUUGAGCUUUAUCAUUUUACAGGUAUUAUUUAUGCUAUUAUAGCAACAUUACACACUAACUAGGGUUUAAAAAUGGGAUCAGAAACAACGUGAAUAUUGUUAGCUUACAGACUCACAAUAACAAAAUAGUUUCUGUUCCUCUAACUGAUAUUAACUUUGUUUUAAUUUUCUUUUUAGUGUCUUAUUAUAUUUUCAGUGUAGUGAUGUGGUACGAUCACUUGGUCUCACUCUACCACGGUCAGAGGCUAUCGACUGGGCAAAGCUUUUUCAAAUAUUUCACAAGACAGAUUUGGAUGCCUUCACGUCUGCCAUCCAUUCUCUGCCUAAAGUUAAAACACUGGAACUAAAUGUUAAAUUUCUGAAUGAAAGCAUAUCUCUUUGGAGUCUCUCCAUCUGCCAGAAUGUCUCCAGUCUAACAGAACUCAAGAUAAAUGCUGAUUUUUUACUGGAGGAGGGAAUUGAGAUCUUGCAAAGGUCACACACAAGGCCAAACUGCACUUUGACAUUUAAAGGGUUAAGAUGCAACAAGCCAUCUCAAAAAUGCACACUGCUUAGAUGGUUUGGCCCUGAACUGAGCUGCAACCAACAUGUGGUGAUUUCUGUGAAUUGUCAGGGUUUUACUGAGAAGACUUUGAGAAGGUAAAUUAGUCUUAUCUAAGAUUUUGAUGGUUUCAGUAACAAUAAGAACUGUGAUAUGCCAUUAGCAAACAAAGAUUUACUGUUAUUAGUAACUGUGCACAAUUCUACAUGAAGGAAUUUGCUUUUGUAUUUGUAUUAAGGCACUUAUACAGUACAGUAUAGAUUUACACUAAUUAUUAUGGCUACAGUGCUUUGUCUUGAUUAUAAAUUAAUCUCUCUCUCUCUCUCUCUCUCUCUCUCUCUCU